UACGAAGGGUGCAAGCGUUACUCGGAAUCACUGGGCGUAAAGCGUGCGUAGGCGGUUCGUUAAGUCUGCUGUGAAAGCCCUGGGCUCAACCUGGGAACUGCAGUGGAUACUGGCGGACUAGAGUGUGAUAGAGGAUGGUGGAAUUCCCGGUGUAGCGGUGAAAUGCGUAGAGAUCGGGAGGAACACCAGUGGCGAAGGCGGCCAUCUGGAUCAACACUGACGCUGAGGCACGAAAGCGUGGGGAGCAAACAGGAUUAGAUACCCCUGUAGU
rnacentral:rRNA from 1 species